AAAGGAAUAGACGGGGGCCCGCACAAGCAGUGGAGUAUGUGGUUUAAUUCGAAGCAACGCGAAAAACCUUACCAGGUCUUGACAUCAAGUGACGAACCAAGAGAUUGGUUUUCCCUUCGGGGCACGAAGACAGGUGGUGCAUGGUUGUCGUCAGCUCGUGUCGUGAGAUGUUGGGUUAAGUCCCGCAACGAGCGCAACCCUUACCUUUAGUUGCUACGCAAGAGCACUCUAGAGGGACUGCCGUUGACAAAACGGAGGAAGGUGGGGAUGACGUCAAAUCAUCAUGCCCCUUAUGACCUGGGCUACACACGUACUACAAUGGCAAUUAACAGAGGGAAGCAAUACAGCGAUGUGGAGCAAAUCCCCAAAAAUUGUCCCAGUUCAGAUUGCAGGCUGCAACUCGCCUGCAUGAAGUCGGAAUUGCUAGUAAUCGCAGAUCAGCAUGCUGCGGUGAAUACGUUCCCGGGCCUUGCACACACCGCCCGU
rnacentral:rRNA from 1 species